UCGCAGGGUAGGUGUUUGAUAAAAUGUAUUUGGUUUUGUUCUACGUAUUCGAAUGACAUGGUGGAGUUUUUUUUUUCGUCACUCUUUUGCAGAGAAUACUUUGAAGAGAAAACAGAGAGAUGUUGCAACAAGUGUCAUAUUUGUUUCUUUGGUCGUUCAUUUUAUGAAAUGGUGGGUUUUGUUAUUCUUUCAUCACGAAUUUUGUGUAUUUGUUAUUAUGUUAUAUUUCUUUACUGUGCGUUGUUUGGUUCUCUUCUCAGGUUAUAUAAAGAAGCAAUCUGUUUAUGUUUGCUGCAAUGAUUGCAUUUUUGUAAGAAUGAAAAAUAGUUUAAUCCAUAUACAUUACUGCAUUCAGGAAAUGCAAUCUUCUUUUUGUGUAUUGUUGUCUCUUCAUAUAUAAUUUAAACUUGCCAUAACUUAUAGAUUGUGUUAAACUGAUGACAAUGAUUACUAUUGCUAUAUUUCUACUAUUAUUAUAUAUAUAUAUAUAAACCCCUGCUCACUUGGUUAUGUGGAGCAGUUGGUAGGUGAGAACAUCUCUUUUGGCCAUGAUUGUGAUAUGAAACCCAACCCAAGUCAGGAAGGUGAAUGGGGUGAAAGGGUUCUAAGACGAGGAGGACCGCAUGUAUACAGAUGCUAUGAUUUUUUUCCUUCUAUUUUUUUUUUCCCUCCUGGGAUUCCUUUGGUAGAGGAAAGCAAAAUGAGGAUGAUAGAGAUGAAGGGAGUUCAAGGAGAGGAAAACUACUAAAGGACUUACUGGCCGUGGCUGUGUUUCUUCUCUUUUUAGAGGUUUUCAAGGGGGGUUCAACUUCCCAAAGUGCAGGAGGCUUGCAGAGGAAUUGGUGAGCUGCUUUCAACAAAACCGAUUACAUUAAAUAAUUGUUUAUUCUAUGUUUUCAUUACACCACUAAAGUGAUAUAUCAUCUGUUUGGAUGCUUAAUCGGGCUUUAGUUAGUUAGUUAGUUAGUUAGUUAUUUUUUUUGUUUCAUGGUUUUAUUCCUUCUGAAUACAGAAUCAUAUGUUUGGGUUUGGGUUACAAGAUAUACUUCAAGUUUUCUUUUGCUACUGGCUUCAUGAAUUAUCGAACCCACGAUAAUUGUAGUGCAGGAGUUAUUGUUCUCUCAUCUCAUCGUUGCUGUAGGUAGAUCGGUUGCACGUGUGGGUCUUCAACUUCUCGAGGUUUAUCAGCCUUGAAAUUUAGUUAUAUUCAUAAAAAAUUAUGUGUUGUAUUAAAUAUUUGUUUCCUAACAACAAUGAGAUCAAAGAAUUUGAUUGACUAUAACAGUUGAAAUGAUCAUUUGUUCUUCUUUGCUGAGAAA